GGUUGGUUGGCCGGGUCACCGGACACAUUUUUAAAACUAGAUAUCCCAAUGAUGAUUGUGGCCAAGUUUGGUUAAAUUUGGCCCAGUAGUUUCAGAGGAGAAGAUUUUUGUAAAAGUUAACGCAGGACGACGACGGACGACGACGACGACGACGGACGACGACGGACGCCGGACGCCAAGUGAUGAGAAAAGCUCACUUGGCCUUUCGGCCAGGUGAGCUAAAAAAGGACGAGACGUU
rnacentral:lncRNA from 1 species